GGACCCAGGCCCUAUGGGGCGCAGCAGGCGAGAAAACUUUGCAAUGUGCGAAAGCACGACAAGGUUAAUCCGAGUGAUUUCUGCUAAAGAAAUCUUUUGUUAGUCCUAGAAACACUAACGAAUAAGGGGUGGGCAAGUUCUGGUGUCAGCCGCCGCGGUAAAACCAGCACCUCAAGUGGUCAGGAUGAUUAUUGGGCCUAAAGCAUCCGUAGCCGGCUCUGUAAGUUUUCGGUUAAAUCUGUACGCUUAACGUACAGGCUGCCGGGAAUACUGCAGAGCUAGGGAGUGGGAGAGGUAGACGGUACUCGGUAGGAAGGGGUAAAAUCCUUUGAUCUAUUGAUGACCACCUGUGGCGAAGGCGGUCUACCAGAACACGUCCGACGGUGAGGGAUGAAAGCUGGGGGAGCAAACCGGAUUAGAUACCCGGGUAGUCCCAGCUGUAAACUAUGCAAACUCAGUGAUGCAUUGGCUUGUGGCCAAUGCAGUGCUGCAGGGAAGCCGUUAAGUUUGCCGCCUGGGAAGUACGUACGCAAGUAUGAAACUUAAAGGAAUUGGCGGGGGAGCACCACAAGGGGUGAAGCCUGCGGUUCAAUUGGAGUCAACGCCAGAAAUCUUACCCGGAGAGACAGCAGAAUGAAGGUCAAGCUGAAGACUUUACCAGACAAGCUGAGAGGUGGUGCAUGGCCGUCGCCAGCUCGUGCCGUGAGAUGUCCUGUUAAGUCAGGUAACGAGCGAGAUCCCUGCCUCUAGUUGCCACCAUUACUCUCAGGAGUAGUGGGGCGAAUUAGCGGGACCGCCGCAGUUAAUGCGGAGGAAGGAAGGGGCCACGGCAGGUCAGUAUGCCCCGAAACUCUGGGGCCACACGCGGGCUGCAAUGGUAACGACAAUUGGUUUCGAAUCCGAAAGGAUGAGGUAAUCCUCAAACGUUACCACAGUUAUGACUGAGGGCUGCAACUCGCCCUCACGAAUAUGGAAUCCCUAGUAACUGCGUGUCAUUAUCGCGCGGUGAAUACGUCCCUGCUCCUUGCACACACCGCCCGUCGUUUCAUUGAAGUGAGCUUUUAGCGAGGUGACGUCUAAUUGGCGUUAUCGAACUUGAGGUUCGUGACAAGGGAAAAGUCGUAACAAGGUGACCGUAGGGGAACCUGCGGUCG
rnacentral:rRNA from 1 species